rnacentral:sRNA from 10 species
GGCGUUUGUUAAAUGUCACCCAGAAAAUGUGGCCACUGAAUUGCUAGAGUUCUAUAAACAUGCUAAAUGUGUCAAACGAUUGGCAGAAGCCUCAAAGAUAAACGUGCAUAAAGGAUUUCCCUUCUGAACAUUUUCGUUUUUCAGGGUAGUGAUGCUGCUGCUCAAGGUGAAAUCUCAUUGCUUUCUUGGAACAGUGAGGCUCAAUAUUUAUAAGCAUUUACUUAUAAUGGAAGAACUGUUGUUUGGGAACUGAGGAAGCAAAAACCAGUGAUAAGGCUGAUUUUGUAGUUGACUGCUCUCAAGAUUCAAUGAGAAGACACUGCUGUGUCUUGCGGUGGAAUCCUGAUAUUACCACUCAAUUUCUUGUUGCAUCAGAUGAAGCUGGUUGACAUGCUCUAAGGGUAAUGAUCUUAUUGAUGGCAUUGCAUUUGCUGAUCAGGAUUAGUAUUUGUGGUGAAUUGUUCCAAGCAGCUUGGUGAUAUGAGGAAAUAUAAUGUCAACAUUAAACAGUUUGUAGGGCACACAAUAGAUUUAUAACUAAUGUGGUAGGAAGUAGGAACUAGGAGGAGUUUAUGCUAUAAUUCCUCGACUAAACAUGCCAUUAGAAGCAUGC